AACGAACGCUGGCGGCAGGCCUAACACAUGCAAGUCGAACGCUCGUAGCAAUACGGGAGUGGCAGACGGGUGCGUAACGCGUGGGAACAUACCCUUUGGUUCGGAAUAACUCAGGGAAACUUGAGCUAAUACCGGAUACGCCCGAGAGGGGAAAGAUUUAUUGCCGAAGGAUUGGCCCGCGUCUGAUUAGCUGGUUGGUAGGGUAACGGCCUACCAAGGCGACGAUCAGUAGCUGGUCUGAGAGGAUGAUCAGCCACACUGGGACUGAGACACGGCCCAGACUCCUACGGGAGGCAGCAGUGGGGAAUAUUGGACAAUGGGCGCAAGCCUGAUCCAGCCAUGCCGCGUGAGUGAUGACGGCCUUAGGGUUGUAAAGCUCUUUUACCCGGGAAGAUAAUGACGGUACCGGGAGAAUAAGCCCGGCUAACUUCGUGCCAGCAGCCGCGGUAAAGUAG
rnacentral:rRNA from 1 species